GUGCUUGCUUUGGCAGCACAUAUACUAAAAUUGGAAUGAUACAGAGAAGAUCAGCACUGCCCCUGCUCAAGGAUGACAUGCAAAUUUGUGAAGAGUUCCACAUUUUU
rnacentral:snRNA from 1 species